GCGGUAAUACGGAGGGGGUUAGCGUUGUUCGGAAUUACUGGGCGUAAAGCGCGCGUAGGCGGAUUAGAAAGUUGGGGGUGAAAUCCCGGGGCUCAACCCCGGAACUGCCUCCAAAACUGCUAGUCUAGAGUUCGAGAGAGGUGAGUGGAAUUCCGAGUGUAGAGGUGAAAUUCGUAGAUAUUCGGAGGAACACCAGUGGCGAAGGCGGCUCACUGGCUCGAUACUGACGCUGAGGUGCGAAAGUGUGGGGAGCAAACAGGAUUAGAUACCCUGGUAGUCCACACCGUAAACGAUGAAUGCCAGUCGUCGGGUAGUAUACUAUUCGGUGACACACCUAACGGAUUAAGCAUUCCGCCUGGGGAGUACGGUCGCAAGAUUAAAACUCAAAGGAAUUGACGGGG
rnacentral:rRNA from 1 species